rnacentral:rRNA from 1 species
ACGGGGUGCAGCAGGCGCGAAACCUUCACACUGUGCGAAAGCGCGAUGAGGGGAUCCCAAGUGCUUGCUCUUAGGAGUAAGCUGUUUUCCUGUUUAAAUCGCAGGAAGAGGAAGGGCUGGGUAAGACGGGUGCCAGCCGCCGCGGUAAUACCUGCAGCUCAAGUGGUGACCGCUAUUAUUGGGCCUAAAACGUCCGUAGCCGGCUGAGUAAAUGCCUGGGUAAAUCGUGCCGCUUAACGGUACGAAUUCCGGGUAGACUGCUUAGCUUGAGACCGGGAGAAGCUAGAGGUACUCCUGGGGG